CCUACGGGAGUCAGCAGUGGGGAAUAUUGCACAAUGGGGGAAACCCUGAUGCAGCGACGCCGCGUGAGUGAAGAAGUAUUUCGGUACGUAAAGCUCUAUCAGCAGGGAAGAAAAAAAGUCCUUUGGACUUUGGACGGUACCUGACCAAGAAGCCCCGGCUAACUCCGUGCCAGCAGCCGCGGUAAUACGUAGGGGGCAAGCGUUAUCCGGAUUUACUGGGUGUAAAGGGCGCGUAGACGGCAGCGCAAGUCUGGAGUGAAAUGCCGGGGCCCAACCCCGGAACUGCGUUGGAAACUGUGCAGCUGGAGUGCAGGAGAGGUAAGCGGAAUUCCUAGGGUAGCGGUGAAAUGCGUAGAUAUUAGGAGGAACACCAGUGGCGAAGGCGGCUUACUGGACUGUAACUGACGUUGAGGCUCGAAAGCGUGGGGAGCAAACAGGAUUAGAUACCCCAGUAGUC
rnacentral:rRNA from 1 species